UACGUAGGGUGCGAGCGUUAAUCGGAAUUACUGGGCGUAAAGCGUGCGUAGGCGGUUCGUUAAGUGCGUCGUGAAAGCCCCGGGCUCAACCUGGGAAUGGCGAUGGAAACUGGCGGGCUGGAGUAUGGCAGAGGGGGGUGGAAUUCCGCGUGUAGCAGUGAAAUGCGUAGAGAUGCGGAGGAACACCGAUGGCGAAGGCAGCCCCCUGGGUCAACACUGACGCUCAUGCACGAAAGCGUGGGGAGCAAACAGG
rnacentral:rRNA from 1 species